UACGGGGGGGGCAAGCGUUGUUCGGAAUUACUGGGCGUAAAGGGCGCGUAGGCGGGCUGUCAAGUCUGGGGUGAAAUCCCGCGGCUCAACCGUGGAAUAGCGUCCCAAACCGCCGUGCUCGAGGGAGACAGAGGUGAGCGGAACUGAUGGUGGAGCGGUGAAAUGCGUUGAUAUCAUCAGGAACACCAGUGGCGAAAGCGGCUCACUGGGUCUUUCCUAACGCUGAGGCACGAAAGCUAGGGGAGCGAACGGG
rnacentral:rRNA from 1 species